GAUCAGGCAGAAGCUAGAGGGCUUAUUUUUUGUGAUAUAGAAAUAAUUGAUGGGAAAAUAUAUGCUGCAACUACGGAGGCAUCCAAGUUUUUAAUGGUAUUUGAUGUCCAAUAUGGCAAUGGCCCUCCUAGCUAUAGGGCUGAAAGGUUGGUCAUGCUUGAGCCCAGUCCAGUUCCUAACAUGUUUCGUGAUAUUAGGAGAACAAAUGGAGUUGAAUCCCAUACAAACUUCGAAGUCAUUUCCCUAGCAAAAAAUUCUCUAUCAGAGGAGUUGUUUAUGAUAUUCUGCAGGACUAACUUUGUUCUUGAGGAGGGUCAAUUUCCUUGGCAUGUAAUCUUUGGUGGUGAUUUUGUCAGUCCACCACAGAUUCAAGCAUUUCAAGUGUUCAAGAUGGAGUGGAAGAUUAAUGGUCCUCAGUGGGUAGAGGUUCUUGACCUCGGUGACGAGAUAUUAUUUGUGUCUGUGGGGGGUAACAAAAUGAUUUCUACCAGCAAUUGCCUUAAUUAUAAUGGUCUCAAUGAUAAAACAUUUCAAAGAAACUGCAUCUAUUUUGCUUACCAUACUCCUUGUUUAACAUUACCAUCAGAAGGGCGGAGUUUUGGGGUGUUUUCUUUGACAAAUAGGAGCAUCAAACGUGUCACUUUUGCGGAGGAACAUUCCUUUACCCAAUUAUAUUCUCGACCUGUCUGGUUCACACCAAAUCCUUGGUAGCUUAGUUCACUCAGUUUUUAUAGUAUCUUUAUGGGACGUCCUUGGGGGCUGUUGAUGUUGAUUUUAACUGAUUUUAAGACAGUAAGGUUGGCUGCCUUGUAUUAUAUGACUUUAGUUGGAUACAUUCAAUCAUACUUUGCUCAGACUUCCAUUCAUACCCAGUAUUCUUUAAUGCUAAUACAUGAUUUGUUUGGACUGGACCCAGUUUAUUUUGGCUGGUGCAUGGUUUUAUUUAUUUAUAGUUAUUUUACUUUAUUUUAUUGUGCUUCAACGAAUUCUUCUUUUUCUUUCUCACUUGAUGAUGGACUGAAUUGUAGUCUGAAAAAGUGGACAAAACUCUAAUGGGAGUUUAUGAAGCUGGUAGGUUAUAAAGCACAAGCAUGUGUUUCGCACUUCUGUAGAUGAUUUCUCUUUUGUUCUCCAUGAAAAAAGUUAGAAAAUCUCAGCAGUGCCUACCAUUCAAACAAUAUCAAUCACUUUGCAGGCAUUUCCCAAGAAAAAGUUACUUGGGUCAUGUGCUCUGCAAGACCUGUGGGAAUUCAAAUUUCAAACAUCUGUUAAUCCCAGCUUCUGAUUUCCAACAGAGUUCAUGAAUCUUUCUUUAGCGUUGCUCCACCAUGAGAAGAUCAGCAGAACUUUUUUAGUUACAAUAGCAUCUCGACAUCAUGCUAAUCCAUCAUUGACGCUUCGCUCACAUUCAACAGAUGAAAAAAUCACACUUUAAAGAAAAGUAGUAGAAGUAGUUGUGUCCGCUGAGUGUUGAAAGUCAAGAAAUGGAUUACUGGAGAGAAGAUCAACUGGUUCUGUAUCAUUAAGAAUGGAUGCAAUGUUUGGAAAAUUUGAACAUGAAGGAAUUUGAUGGUAAUAGAUUUUGAAUCUUUGAAGCAUUUGUGUGGAUGCUACUUGGAGAAAGUUAUGUCUGCCCAUAUGUUGGGCCUGAUGAUGGGAAAAAAAUUGCUUACAAUUCCAAGUUGAACAAGCGAUAAUUUCGACCUGAGUUUUUACCCAGAUCAGAAGUUGAAGUUUCCGCAGGGAUCCAAGGUAGGCCCUUGACCGCAAUCCAGUUGGUUGGUUGAUUGAUUUAGUGUUGAAACAAUUUCCUGUAUAGUUUACAUCAAUGUACACAAAUAUUUUUUCUUCUUAUAUUCAUUUUGAAAAAUGUAAAAGCGGAACUUUGGACACAGGAUCUCGAACACGGAUGCCUGAAUAAGGAAUUUGGAACCUUAUGAAUAGGUUUUCUUUUGAAUUUCGGUCUCGAGUUUGAUUAUAGACUCAAACUUGGAACCCAGACAAU